rnacentral:rRNA from 1 species
UACGUAGGAGACGAGCGUUGUCCGGAGUUACUGGGCGUAAAGCGUGCGUAGGCGGUUUGUUAAGUCUGCUGUGAAAUCCCCGGGCUCAACCUGGGAAUGGCAGUGGAUACUGGCAAGCUAGAGUGUGUCAGAGGAUGGUGGAAUUCCCGGUGUAGCGGUGAAAUGCGUAGAGAUCGGGAGGAACAUCAGUGGCGAAGGCGGCCAUCUGGGACAACACUGACGCUGAGGCACGAAAGCGUGGGGAGCAAACAGG